GACGAACGCUGGCGGCGUGCUUAACACAUGCAAGUCGAACGGAAAGGCCCUGCUUUCGUGGGGUGCCCGAGUGGCGAACGGGUGAGUAACACGUGAGUAACCUGCCCUUGACUUUGGGAUAACUUCAGGAAACUGGGGCUAAUACCGGACAGGAGCCCCUGCUGCAUGGUGGGGGUUGGAAAGUCUCGGCGGUUGUGGAUGGACUCGCGGCUUAUCAGCUUGUUGGUGGGGUAGUGGCUUACCAAGGCUUUGACGGGUAGCCGGCCUGAGAGGGUGACCGGCCACAUUGGUACUGAGAUACGGACCAGACUGCUACGGGAGACAGCAGUGGGGAGUAUUGCACAAUGAGCGGAAGCCUGAUGCAGCAACGCCGCGUGCGGGAUGACGGCCUUUGGGUUGUAAACCGCUUUCGCCUGUGACGAAGCGUGAGUGACGGUAAUGGGUAAAGAAGCACCGGCUAACUACGUG
rnacentral:rRNA from 1 species